UGAAGCUGGAAUUGCUAGUAAUGGCAGGUCAGCAUACUGCCGUGAAUACGUUCCCGGGCCUUGUACACACCGCCCGUCACACCAUGAGAGUUGGAAAUACCCGAAGCCUGUGAGCUAACUUAAAGAGGCAGCAGUCGAAGGUAGAGCCAAUGAUUGGGGUGAAGUCGUAACAAGGUAUC
rnacentral:rRNA from 1 species